CCGCCGAUCCACGCGAGCGUGGCCUCCCGCGCAGACUCCGCGCGGCGGGGAGCAUGAGGAAGAGAAGCAUGACACGUUGGUAUCAUAAUGGGCUUGCUGCGUAAAGAUAGCAGCAUAAUACAUCUUGCCGGUGAUUCCAUGAAGGACUCCAGACUUCCGACUAUGGAACGCAAUUUUCUAUUUUAUAUCUUUAGGAGAAAAGGCUCAAAGAAUGAAAGAAGGCAACAGUUGAGUGCCUUCAGUGCAUUACCAAAAGAGGCACCCCUUCUCUUUACUGAGAAGUAAGGAGCACAGAAAGUAGAAAAGUUAAGGAAGGCAAACACAAAUUAUUCAGAGGAGAAAACAAGGAAAUCGUGAAAGAGGAACAGUGUGAACAAGUUUGCUCAGAUGACACAGAUAAGCCAAAAGCAAAGGCCAAAGAAAAAACUUCACAAAUAAUAAGAAGGUGUGAAUGGGCUUCAGAGUGAGAGGCAACAGUAACUUUGCUGCUUGAGGACCCUCUCACCUCUGGAAAGUGUUGAGCUCUGAACGGUGUCAUGUGUCUCAGUAGCUUAGUCCUCCCUCAAAUAUUCAGAGUUUUUAAGGUGGUGGAGAUGGAAUCCAGGGCCUCACACAUGCUGGCCUGAAACAAAGGAUUCCCCUGCCUUACCCUGCAGAGUCCAGUGGGAUUCCUGGCCUGCACCACUGUGCCUGGCUCACAUAUUCAAACUGCUGAUUGCAGGUAUCAUGCUGAUUCUUGAAACCAUUGUAAACCCUGCCCUAACCGUGCCUAAAUGUAUGGACCUGACUUGGAGUUUAGAAAUACCACAAACAGCUAGCUCCAAGUCAUUAUUGCAUUCAUAAAGACCAGCACUAGGAUUCUUACCUCAGUGCACUGGCUCUUAACCACCACGCCCGCCGUGUGUCUGCCUCUUCACUGGUGUUUAGGAGCUCAGAGGUGCAGAUCGAGUCACUCAGCUUUCCUAAGCCUCAGCUUCCAAUUUUUAUCAGUGAGCAUAGUGCCGUGGGAAUUAAAGGACAUAGCUAGCUUCUUAGGUCAUCUGUAAUCAUGCCUAGGUCAGGGAUGCUACGGGACACCAGGUACUGUAAAACAUACCGCCUUGCAAGGCAAAAGGCUUCUCUGAUCUGUAGAUGAGUUGAAACCCACUUAGAGCAGGUCAUUGUAGAUAAGGCUGAAUAAUACUUGACCUGUGAGGACAGCUGAUUGGUAAGUAGCAUACAUUAGUGGGUCUUCUGAUGCCCAUAUGUUCUAAGGUGGUAACACCAGUUUCCCUAUUUUACAAUUUGUCUACUUGUGUAUGCUUUGAAAAGCCCAUGAUACAUUAAUACACCAGUGAUCAGCAAAAGACAAGCACCAGGCCCUUUGCUUCCAAGGAACCCGGAGCCUGGACUGGAACCCAGAGACCUGGGCAGAGUUUGAAUUGACAGCCCGGACUCCUGAUGAGCAGUAAUCCCCCUGCUUCUGUUUCCCCGUGGCCUCCAUGCCGUGCUUUGGAAGGAGGAGAAGUCAAGCCAGAGAGACGCGACAGUGGAGAGCAAACCCUGGUGCAUUCAUGUCUCUGCCUGGCCCCUCUUCCUGUCAUUUACUUGUCUCUCAAGGCGUUUUUGUCUGUCUCCCUGCUAGAAUCUAAGUUCCAGGAGGCCAGGGAUGUUUGAUUGUCCUGUGCCUCGCUGUGUUCCCAAACCCCGGGCAGUGACUGGCACACACCUAUCGCUCAACAAAUGCUCAAAGGGGAAAAAAUGUGGGGAUAAUUGAUUUAGAAAAACGUGGGUAAUAAAGAAAAUGUUGUUGGAGAACAAGCCAUUUCAAGUCUUGAUUUACACAGGUAAAUUUAACUGGAAAAAGUUACUAAAAUAUUUCAUAGGGUUUUUCCCCAAAUUAUUAUUUUUUAUUGAUAUAUAUAGUCCAUCUACCAUUAAAAUUAACCCAUUUAAAGCAUAUGUUCCUAUGGUUUUUGGUAUUAUAGAAAGAUUUUCACUAUCUUUUUCAAAGUAUCAACUAUUACAUAUAUAAACUCAGUAUCUGAUGAGACAUGAGAACUGGCCACACAGACAUGUGAAAAAUAUCAGUUCCACCAAACGUCAUUAUUAGACAGUCUUUAGUGACUCUGACACUGAAGUCGUGAAUUGCUAAUAACUAGGGUUUUUCCGUAUGGAAAUCCACAUAAUCCUCUUUAAGUAAUUAAUCACUGUCAAUGCUUAUACUUAAACUUGUAUGAAAAAAUGAUACUCAGAUUGGUUCUGUAUGAUAAAUGCAUAUGAAAACAAUAAAAUUCUAAUUCCGAUUGGCACAUGUACCUAUUUCUUUAUUUGUAUCAUUUACGUGUAUAUGUGGAAUCUGUUUUAUGUUGUCAUCUUUUCCUUGCAUGAAGGGAUGAGUGUUUAUGAUACUGAAGUAUGUGAGGCUGUAAAUGGCAUUUACAUUCAAUAACUACAUCGAUGCUGCUUCUGCAUUUAAUCGCUGGCUGGAGAUAUUUAUUGCUUGGUGUACUAUUCUCCCAUAAACAGCACUACCUCAAUAGGACACUCUCUUACUACUGAUUAUUUUCCCCUUUCCGUGGAAAUGAAAAAAAAAAAAACAACCAUUUUAUAAAAAUAAAACAUUCCCA
rnacentral:lncRNA from 1 species